AAUUCACUGAUUAAAAAAAUAAUAAUAAUUCACCCAGGACUGUCCCCAGCUUUUCUGUGCCUUUUCCCCUCUGAAGCUACAAUUUGGAACCGGGUUGAGGAAGUAGCAUUGUGGAUAGGAAAAACUGGACGAGAAUCCAGAUUUCGACUCUCUUAUCAAUCCGGUGAAAUCUAUAAGCUAAAUCUCUAUGUCCUCAAGUCAGCAACAUGGAAAUUAUUACCCCAGGGGAUCCAGCUGCCAAAUGGGGGGAAAAAUCAAGAGCUGCUCUUAAAAGAAGUUGCCCUUGCUGGUGUACCGGGUAAAAAUAGAGGCUGCCGCUCAGCACGGCUUGGCCCAGACUCCAGGCGUCCGGAGAGCUGCGCUGAGCAGCGGCCGCGUUCCGGCGUGAUCCCUGGACGCCACCAGCAGGUGCUGCUCAAGGGGAAGAAGUCAUUUCCAUUGUGGUUCAGCUCUGAGGUUGGAGAUUCAGAAGGGAAUUAUAUCAGAACUGGUGGCCGGGACUGGCAGAGCAGGUAGUCGAGUCACAGCCAGAGGAUUCACUGGCUCAGUGCAUCAUCAGCAGUACCACAGCAGCCAAGUAGGGCUUUCCAUUAGAUAAUGAAUUAUGAAAUAUGUCUCACACUGGAAAAACCAGUCAUCCGCUGAUGUCAUGCUGAUUCUAACCAAUCCCCAGCAAAGCCCCAGCCCUCUUCUGUUUGAGUGGUACCGAUAUGUGAGUGUACAAAUAAGUAGUACAGUAUAAAACUUCACAGUGCCAAUACUAUAAAGAGGAACUCAGACAGCUCUGGCCACAUGGUACAAGAAUCUGCUGGCGAAAGAGAGGGGACCGGAAAGGUAAUGUUUUUUAACUCUUCCUUAGGAGCGAUUUGCACAUUCAUAAUCCGAAGGAGUUUUAGAAGGAAAUUUACAACUUAUUGGCACUUCCAUGGGAGUUGUGAUUUGUACCUUUUUAUAUUCUUCAGGCAGGUUAAUUCAGCUUUUAAUAGUUCUAGAGCAUGCAAAUAGAUUAUGUGUUUUUACAACCCACUCAGCACAUAUAUACCAGUACAUAUGCCAAACAGAAAGCUAUUUUUAAGCGUUUCAUUCGCAAACAGUAAAUUCAGGGAACACACACAGACUCACAUUCAGAGGGAAUCCAAACACUGAUAACUUGCACUUAUCUAAAUGCUGCUAUUAAGACUCUUGAGUCGUUUCAAGUCAUUAAACUCCGAGUUCUAUUUCAGACUCUCUUGUAAAACUUAAUUGGACUACAGAAUGCUUUGGGUGCUCUGUAUGUGGCCCCAAAUAGGUAGAUGAUGCUGAGUAUUAUAUUACAAAAAUGUUUUAUUGAACAAUUAUAAUGCAAAUGCUAUCCCAUUCUCUUUCACCACCCCUCCCCUCAAAAAUGAGGCAAUAUUGAUAAAGUCUUAACAAUAAUAGCAGAGUAAUUGAUGUUCCUGGAGCGGAAGCCCCAAAGGUGAUGGAUGCCUUAAAACAGGGAAAGUCUUGCAAGUAUAUGUUUGGGAAGUGGGGCAGGGGAUACAAUUCAGAGAAGCAUUGCUACCUGACUGUGAUUUUUGACUGAAUGGAACAAUUUCCUCACCCUCCUCCCCUUGCACUCAGAUCUAAUGCUGGUAGUCAUGCUAUUUAUUAAAUAUGAUGAUAUUUAUUAUUUUUUCCCAGCAAAACUGCUUUGCUUGACUGAAAUGCUUUGAAUACACUAGGUGUCAGAUACAAGCUGACUGUAUCUACAGAAACAGAGAGGGCUUAUGUGUGGGAAAGAAACCAAGAAGGAAGGAAAGCUUUAACAGA